ensembl:lncRNA
AAAGAAUCAACUCCACAUUCUAAAACAUUUUUUUUAAACAAAUGCAACUGUCUAUUAAGUAAUGGACUUUUUUUGCAUCCAAAUGAGUAUUAUUCUUUGCAAAGUAGUCACCUUGGGAGAUAUUUCUUCAUUUAAGUAGUAUAGUCAUUGCUCUAAACAUUGUAAUGUGUUGGAAUUGCCUCUGGAGCCAACAACAUAUCCUUUUGAAUAUUUUCAUUGACAACUACCCUUUAAUUUGAUUUGAUUUUUAGAAAUAGUCAAGAGUAAUUUAGAGCCAUGUUUACUGAAUAGAAACAAAUUUAUUGCCAUAGUAAAACCUGGCCUAUUCUGACUGGUAAGGAUUCUCUAAAUCCCUUACUUUCAUUUCUUCAUCUCCAAGUCUACAACCCAUUCCAAUUUGGUGCCCUUUGCCCUAUCCACUCCAUUCAAACUACCCUUUCUAAGGCUAUGGCCUGUUUUGGGUAUUCAAGAAGGGCAUUUUUUUAACAUUAUGGAAAUAGUGAAACCAUUUAUCUUGUGCGGCUUGUGCAGUCUCUAAAGGCAGUUUCAAAGCAGAGGAAACUUACAGUACUUUGAGAAUGGUAGAGUCAUCAGACAAAAGAUAUUACCUCCACUGUGACAAAGUGUACUUGGGCCUUUAAUUUUUGAUAUCUGUUAUGUAUCUUCAGUUCAGUACAGUAAAUAUUUAUUAAGCAUGUAUUAUUAUGCAAAACACUGUAAGAGGUGCUGACGCAAAAUGCAAAGAUGAGUCCAGCCCUGACUCAUGGACAAAUAGUGAAUGAGGGGAAUAUCUUUCAAUGACUCUACUGCAAGACAGAUGUAAGUGUUCCCUUGGAGUUACAAAGCACUACAUAAAUACAGGAGCGGGAGGGAUUCAUUUUACCUGGGGCAUGACAGUUAAAUUGAACCUAGAAGGACAUAGAUUGAAACCUUGACAGGCAGGGAUGGAAGAAAGGAUGUUCUAGGAAGAGGAAAUAACUUGUUCAGUUGUAGAGCAGAGUUUGUGUCUUUAAAAAAAUGAACAUUUUAAUUUCUAAUAAAAUAAAACAGUAAAAUCUGUACUAUUUUCGACUUUACCACCACUAUAAGAUUUGUCUAGAUUUAAUUCAGUUGAAUCUUACAAACACUGUUUGUUUGUCUUUGCGUGUGCCCUGUAUGUCUUUUCUUAGUGGUCAUGUCUGUGUCUUUCUCUCGCUCCAUGUCUCCUUCCUUUCCUCUUUAUCUUUUUCUCACCUUCUCUAUCUCUUGCAUUCCUUUCUCAUAGUCUUCUUUCCAUCUUGAUUGUUAUAAGGAAUUGAAAUAUACCUGUUAGACUUAGUAGUUUAUGUUUCCUGUUCUUAAUUUUAGAAAUAGGUGAGUUUAACUUUUUUUUAAUUAACAGACUUUAUUUUUUAGAGCAGUUUUAGGUUUAAAAAAGACUGAGCAGAAUAUACAGAGUUCCUAGAUACCCACUCACCCCUGCUACUCACAGUUUUCCCUAUUAUUAACUAGCCUCAUGCAUUGGCACGGUAUAUUUCUUACAAUUGAUGAACCAAUAUUGAUACGUUGUUAUUAACUAACGUACAUAAUUUACAUUAGGGUUCACUUUUUGUCAUACAGUUCUAUGGGUUUUGACAAAUGCAUAAUAUCAUGUGUCCAGCAUUACAGUACCAUACAGAAUAGUUUUACUGACUUAAAAAUUCUCUGAGCUCUAUCUAUUUAUUCCUCUCCUCUACACUCCUCCCUCUCCUGUCUUCGAACCCCUGGCAGUCUUUUUACUAUCUCUUUAGUUUUACCUUUUCCAGAAUGUCAUAUUGGUGGAGUCAUAUGAUAUGUAGCCUUUUCAGAUUGGUUUCUUCCAUUUAGCAAUAUGCAUUUAAGAUUCCUCCGUAUCUUUUUGUGGCUGAUAGCUCAUUUCUUUUUAGUGCUAAAUAAUAUUCCAUUCUGUGUGUGUACCACAGGUUGUUUACCCAUUCCCCUAUUAAAGGACAGUUACCUUGGUUGCUUCUAACCUUGGCAAUUAUAAAUAAAUCUACUAUAAACAUUCAUGUGCAGCUUUUUCUAUGGACAUAAACUCAACUAAUCUGGGUAAAUACCAAGGAGCAUGAUUACUGGAUCAUAUGGUAGCACUAUAUGUAGCUUUGUAACAAAUUGGCAAACUGUAUUGUAAAGUGGCCAUACUAUUUUAAAUUCCAGUAAUGAGUGAGAGUUCUUGUUGCUCCAUAUCCUCACUAGCAUUUGGUGUUGUCAGUUGUUUUGGAUUUUAGCCAUUCUGAUGGAUGUGUAGUGGUAUCUCAUUGUUAUUUUAAUUAGUAGUUCCCUGAUGGUAUAUGAUGUUGAACAUCUUUUCAUGUGCUCAUUUGCCAUCUGUGUAUUUUCUUUUUCUUUUUUUAUUUUUUUAGGAAGAUUAGCCCAGAGCUAACAUCUGCCACCAAUCCUCCUCUUUCUGCUGAGGAAGACUGGCCCUGAGCUCACAUCUGUGCCCAUCUUCCUCUACCUUCUUUGUGAGACGCCUGCCGCAGCAUGGCUUGACAAGCGGUGCAUAGGUCUGCACUGGGGAUCCAAGUUUGUGAAUCCUGGGCUGCCAAGCAGAACGUGCAAACUUAACCAGUGCACCAUCAGGCUGGCCCCCAUCUGUGUAUUUUCUUUGGAGUACAUGGUUGUAUAUUCUUCAUUGUGGGUCCUUCUAGUUGUGGCAUGUGGGACGCCACCUCAUCGUGGCUUGAUGAGCAGUGUCAUGUCCGCGCCCAGGAUUUGAACCAACGAAACACUAGGCCGCCUGCAGCGGAGCGCGUGAACUUCACCACUCGGCCACAGGGCCAGCCCCUGCCCAUUUUUUAAUUGGUUUGUUUGUUCUUUUGUUGUUGAGUUGUGUGUUCUUUAUAUAUUUUGCUUAUUAACCCCUUACCAGACAUAUGAUUUGCAAAUAUCUUUUCCCAAUUGUUAAGUUGUCUUUUUGCUAUGUUUAUGAUUUCCUUUACUGUGCAGAAGGUUUAGUUUUAUGUAGUCCCAUUUGUUUAUUUUUUCUUUUGUUUCCCUUACCUGGGAAGACAUGGUAUUCAAAAAUUAUUUCUAAGGCUAAUGUCAAAGAACAUAUUGCCUAUGUUUUCUUCUAGGAGUUUUAUGGGUUCAGGUCUUACUUUCAAGUCUUUUAUCCACUUUGAGUUAAUUUUUGUGUGUGGUGCAAGAUAAUGGUCUACUUUCAUUCUUUUGCCUGUGGCUGUCCAGUUUCCCCAACACCAUUUAUUGAAGAGACUUUCCUUUCCCCGUUGUUCAUUCUUGGCUUCUUUGUUGAAAACUAACGUCCAUAGAUGUGUGAGUUUAUUUCUGGACUCUCGGUUCUGUUCCAUUGACCUGUGUGUCUAUUUUUGUGCAGGUACCAUGCUGUUUUGAUUACUAUAGGUUUUUAGUAUAUUUUGAAAGCAGGGAUUGUGAUACGUCUGGCUUUGUUCUUUUUUCUCAAGAUUGCUUUGGCUAUUCGGAGUCUUUUGUUGUUCCAUAUAAAUUUUAGGGUUCUUUGUUCUAUUUCUGUGAAAAAUGUCACAGCAACUUUGAUAGGGAUUGCACUGAAUCUAUAAAUUGCUUUAGGAAGUAUGGACAUUGUGACUAUGUUAAUUCUUCCAAUCCAUGAGCAUCGAAUAUCUUUCCAUUUCUUUGUAUCUUCUUUGAUUUCUUUCAACAACGUUUUAGCUUUCAGUGUACAAGUGUUUCAUCUCUUUGGUUAACUUUAUUCCUAGGUAUUUUAUGCUUUUUGUUGUGAUUGUAAAUGGG